rfam:Rattus norvegicus connexin 43 (Cx43) mRNA, partial cds.
AAAAACGCUUUUACGAGGUAUCAGCACUUUUCUUUCAUUGGGGGGAAGGCGUGAGGAAAGUACCAAACAGCAGCAGACUUUUAAACUUUAAACAGACAGGUCUGAGAGCCUGAACUCUCAUUUUUCCUUUGACUUCAGCCUCCAAGGAGUUCCACCAACUUUGGCGCGCCGGCUUCACUUUCAUUAAGUGAAAGAGAGGUGCCCAGACAUG